GACGAACGCUGGCGGCGUGCUUAACACAUGCAAGUCGAACGGAAAGGCCUUUUCGGAGGUACUCGAGUGGCGAACGGGUGAGUAACACGUGGGUGAUCUGCCCUGCACUCUGGGAUAAGCCUGGGAAACUGGGUCUAAUACCGGAUAGGACCGCACUUUAGUGUGUGUGGUGGAAAGUUUUUCGGUGUAGGAUGAGCCCGCGGCCUAUCAGCUUGUUGGUGGGGUAAUGGCCUACCAAGGCGGCGACGGGUAGCCGGACUGAGAGGUUGGUCGGCCACAUUGGGACUGAGAUACGGCCCAGACUCCUACGGGAGGCAGCAGUGGGGAAUAUUGCACAAUGGGCGCAAGCCUGAUGCAGCGACGCCGCGUGGGGGAUGACGGCCUUCGGGUUGUAAACUCCUUUCGCCAGGGACGAAGCGUUUUGUGACGGUACCUGGAGAAGAAGCACCGGCUAACUACGUG
rnacentral:rRNA from 1 species